CCUACGGGUGGCAGCAGUGGGGAAUAUUGCACAAUGGGGGAAACCCUGAUGCAGCGACGCCGCGUGAGUGAAGAAGUAUUUCGGUAUGUAAAGCUCUUUCAGCAGGGAAGAAAAUGACGGUACCUGACUAAGUAGCCCCGGCUAACUACGUGCCAGCAGCCGCGGUAAUACGUAGGGGGCAAGCGUUGUCCGGAUAUACUGGGUGUAAAGGGAGCGUAGACGGUGGCGGAAGUCUGGAGUGAAAUCCCAUGGCUUAACCAUGGGACUGCUUUUGAAACUGUGCAGCUGGAGUGCAGGAGAGGUAAGCGGAAUUCCUAGUGUAGCGGUGAAAUGCGUAGAUAUUAGGAGGAACACCAGUGGCGAAGGCGGCUUACUGGACUGUAACUGACGUUGAGGCUCGAAAGCGUGGGGAGCAAACAGGAUUAGAUACCCGAGUAGUC
rnacentral:rRNA from 1 species